rnacentral:rRNA from 1 species
AUUUAACGCUGGCGGCAGGCCUAACACAUGCAAGUCGAGCGGAUGAAGGGAGCUUGCUCUCUGACUUAGCGGCGGACGGGUGAGUAAUGCCUAGGAAUCUGCCUGGUAGUGGGGGAUAACGUCCGGAAAGGGGCGCUAAUACCGCAUACGUCCUACGGGAGAAAGCAGGGGACCUUCGGACCUUGCGCUAACAGAUGAGCCUAGGUCGGAUUAGCUAGUUGGGUGGGGUAAUGGCUCACCAAGGCUACGAUCGGUAACUGGUCUGAGAGGAUGAUCAGUAACACUGGAACUGAGACACGGUCCAGACUCCUAGGGGAGGCAGCAGUGGGGAAUAUUGGACAAUGGGCGAAAGCCUGAUCAAGCCAUGCCGCUUGUGUGAGGAAGGUCUUCGGAUUGUAAGGCACUUUAGGUUGGGAGGAAGGGCAGUAAGUUAUUACCUGGCUGAUUUGACGUUACCGACAGAAUAAGCACCGGCUAACUUCGUGCCAGCAGCCGCGGUAAAAC